rnacentral:rRNA from 1 species
GAUGAACGCUGGCGGCGUGCCUAAUACAUGCAAGUCGAGCGAAUGGAUUAAGAGCUUGCUCUUAUGAAGUUAGCGGCGGACGGGUGAGUAACACGUGGGUAACCUGCCCAUAAGACUGGGAUAACUCCGGGAAACCGGGGCUAAUACCGGAUAACAUUUUGAACCGCAUGGUUCGAAAUUGAAAGGCGGCUUCGGCUGUCACUUAUGGAUGGACCCGCGUCGCAUUAGCUAGUUGGUGAGGUAACGGCUCACCAAGGCAACGAUGCGUAGCCGACCUGGGAGGGUGAUCGGCCACACUGGGACUGAGACACGGCCCAGACUCCGACGGGAGGCAGCAGUAGGGAAUCUUCCGCAAUGGACGAAAGUCUGACGGAGCAACGCCGCGUGAGUGAUGAAGGCUUUCGAGUCGUAAAACUCUGUUGUUAGGGAAGAACAAGUGCUAGUUGAAUAAGCUGACACCUUGACGGUACCUAACCAGAAGGCCACGGCUAACUACGUGCCAGCCGCCGCCGUAA